UAUAUUAUUACAAGUCAUUUGUGUAUACUUGCGGAAGGUCAGAACAUUUCGCAAAGGAAAGAGAAACUCGUAUAUUCAUAAUAUAAUGGUUGAUACACGUAGAUACGAAAUCAAGUCGUAUUUAAUCUGCGUUUGGGAUAAAACUCAUGAAUUUCAUUUUAUUUAAUUACUACGAUGUAUAAAAAGGCAAAUAAAGUGAUUAGUACUCCCAUUGAAAGUGAAUUUCCAAAUAGUUCAUUGUCAAUUUCGGACAUAAAGGAAAACUCGUCGGACGGUGUAAAGCAAGUAAAUACAACUGGUAUUAAGAGAAUUGCAUCUAAUAAUAUUAUUAACAAGAAGAAAAUCAAAUGUAAACGAAAAGUUAGAAAAUUGUAUAAGAGAGUUGCGGAUUAUAAUAAAAAAGGAAGAAAAUUAAUCGUAUCGGAAACCUCCGAUAGCGAAUGGGAAAUAAGAUCUACAGAUACUAAUUCGAAUAAAAAAGAUUUAUCGAAAUUAUUACAAACGAAAGAUACAAAUAUACAAGAUCAACAAGAAAUUCCAUAUAAAUUAUACGAAACUCCGGAACGUAUACGUGAUGCUAAAUAUGACGAUCAUAAUGAUUUCUUACUCUCACCAACUUUAUUCUCUCUAAGAUCAAAUAAUAAUUUUCCGAUUAAAGAUAUCGUCGAUAAAGAAGAUGAUCUAGUGUUUUUGGAUCAAGAUAAAGAAGAAAUUGAUCAUAUCUCUCCUAUUUUCGUGAGAUCGAAUCAUGUUAAGACGUAUCCAUCGAAGAGGCAAAAAACAUCGACGAAAAAAUUAUUAGAAAAUAAAGAAAAUGGAAAUUGGCUCCUAGAUGUUCGAAUACCAACGAAUAGUGCCGAUUUAUUAUGGGAUAAAUAUAUAAAAGAGCAUUCCGAUGAAUUCUCUCAACAUUUUCGAUCUAGCGAUAUCCAUAAGACUGAUACAGAAAAGAUUGAUACACAAAGUGACACUGUAUUAUAUUUUUUGUUUUUUGUAAUGGCGAACUCUAUUUAUGUAAUCUUCGUUCAUAUAAAUCAAGGAAUCAGUAUAUAUAUACUCUACAAUAGAAGAACAUUACUUUAUCUUCUUAAACACAGAUUUCAGCGACAUUUUGAAUAUGCUUGAUGGACAGAGAUUGAAAUUAUUGAAAUCCAAAGAAUUGUCUAGAAUCAAGGGAAGUUUCAAUAAAAGAACAGUUCAAGUGAUAGUACGGAUUGUGAAAUACAAAAAAAAAAUGGUAAAUUAAUAUCAUUUAACAAAUUUAACACGAAGCUUAAAAUGAAUAAAUUUAAUUAUAAGAGAUCUCUUUCGUCUCGAAAUAAAAACGACGUAUGUGCUUGCUUAUCUUCGUUGUCCACAAUGUCAAAAGACAAUCCUAAAGUUAAAAUUAAAUCGAUGGUAUCUUUAAAAUCCAUACAUUACAAAAAACAAUCAAGCGGUAAUUAUUAUAUUACGACUAUGGAGUCUUCAUCACCGUAAAAUCAAAAUUUAUUUAUAUUUAUUUCUCUUUAUCUGUUCUACUUAUUAUUUAUAUUUCUUUAUUUAUGUUUCCUUAUUAUUUUAUUAUACUUAUAUACAUUAAAUGUAUCACAAGUAUCGUAAUAUAUCAAAUAAUGCCUGUAUGUCAUUGAAUCGAGGAAGAUUAUGUUUAUUGUAUUUGGAAAAAUAAUAUAAAUUCUAAUUUAUAUUUUGCUUGCUUUGAAUCAUGUAUCAAAUUAUUAUAUUUUCAAUCAUGUCAAUUGAAGCAUGUA